AGCAGUCCUCCUGCCUUGGCCUCCCAAAGUGCUGGGAUUACAGGUGUGAGCCCCCACACCCAGCCUGUUUUUGUUUAUUCCAAUCAGGAUCCAGAGAAUACCACUGACUCACGGGCCUCCUUCUGGUUCCUGCCUCUGCCUUCCCAUUGUCCUGGGUUGUCCUGCGGCAGUGGACCUGGGUGCGUUCCACCCGUGUUUUUGGGAAGCCCGCUUCUGGGCAUCCAUCAGGGCAGGUGUCGUCCAUGUGCUGAGCCGGGUGGCACUGAGAUCUGCAUGCCACCUCCGUUCCAUCGCUCGUCUCCACGUGUUAGUUGGAGUGUGCGUCCAGCCUGGAGCAGGUUGUAUGUUCUCGUCCACCUCAGCACGCUCUUGUCCGGUGUGGACGCUGCCAACUCCACUCUACGUUGAAGAAGUCGAGAGGCAAGAGGUUCCGGAGUGCUCCAGAUUGACACCCCCAGGGCACGGUGGCCCCGAGCCGCCUCCCUGACCAGCUCCUGUCUCUGGCCACCAUAUUUUCCUUGGAAAAAAUCAAAAGCAGCGUAUUUUAUGAUGUGAUAAUUUAAGAAUUGAAAUUUCAUGGUGCGUAGCCUGGUUGGAACCAGCCCCACUGGCUCAGCUGUGGUCGCCUUCACCCGUAAGCCCGUCCGUGGUGCAGCUGAGUGUGUGCCAGGAGUGUGCUGCCUGCCUGCCGGUGGCUUUGGGCAGCCCUCUGCACCGUGGCUGGAACUCAUCGUCACUGCAUUGGGACGUUUUCAUGACGACGUCAGAACGAGGAAAGGAGAAAAGGGGACUUUCAGGGCUGCACUUCGAAGCCGCAGUGAACUCUGGAUUAUUUUGUUGUUGAACUGUCAUUGUUGAUGGCAAAGCACCGACUUUCUCAUCCGUCAUACUGUAGCUAUGCUGAGAGCAAACAGCCGACGAUGGAGUCACUGACUCAACACCAGCAAUAUCCCCACUCACAGGAAAGCAGUAUUUAGACACCAGCAAUAUUCCCUACUCACAGGAAAGCAGUGUUUACAAAAUGCUGAAAAUUUAAAAUGGAAUGUCUCAUCACAGCAGAAUUUCUUCUCAGAAGUGAAAAUGAAGAUAUGGCUGUAGUCAGAAUAAGCUUCCAAUUGGCUGAUUCGUUAGCGUUAUGCCAACAGUGAGCUCCUCAGAUCAGGCUGGACUGCCGCAGCUCAAGAGCAAUGUCCAGAGACAGUGAGCUCUUAUUUAUUUAUUUAUUCAAUCAUUUUUGAGACGGAGUUUUGCUCUUGUUGCCCAGGCUGAGUGCAGUGGCACGAUCUCAGCUCACUGCAACCUCCGCCUCCCAGGUUCACACAGUUGUCCUGUCUCAGCCUCCUGAGUAGCUGGGAUUACAGGCAGGUGCCACCAUGCCUGGCUAAUUUUUUGUAUUUUUAGUAGAGACGGGGGUUUCACCAUGUUGGCCAGGCUGGUCUCGAACUCCUGACCUCAUGAUCCGCCCGCCUCAGCCUCCCACAGUGCUGGGAUGACAGGUGUGAGCCACCGCGCCCGGCCCCAAUAAAUGUUUCAGUGCCUGUAUACACCUGA